AAUUCGAUGCAACGCGAAGAACCUUACCUGGACUUGACAUCCCAGGAAUUCCCUGGAAACAGGGAAGUGCCCUUCGGGGAGCCUGGUGACAGGUGCUGCACGGCUGUCGUCAGCUCGUGUCGUGAGAUGUUGGGUUAAGUCCCGCAACGAGCGCAACCCUUGUCAUUAGUUGCUACGCAAGGGCACUCUAAUGAGACUGCCGGUGACAAACCGGAGGAAGGUGGGGAUGACGUCAAGUCCUCAUGGCCCUUAUGGGUAGGGCUUCACACGUCAUACAAUGGUCGGUACAGAAGGUUGCCAAGCCGCGAGGCGGAGCCAAUCCCACAAAGCCGAUCGUAGUCCGGAUCGUAGUCUGCAACUCGACUACGUGAAGUCGGAAUCGCUAGUAAUCGCAGAUCAGCAUGCUGCGGUGAAUACGUUCCCGGGUCUU
rnacentral:rRNA from 1 species